CCCAAAGGAUAUGAAUUAUCCAAGUUCUACAAUUAUUUGGUGGUCCAAAUUGAAGUCCAAGAUGAGGAAGAUUAUGUCACCAAAUCAGCCCUUCAAGUCCACCUAAGGGGCUCAAAAUGACCUCAAAAGAGGUCCUAAAUGGGGUCUUUCGAAAGGAGUCCAAUGGGAGUCCAAAUCAAUAGCCCAAACUAGUAAAGGCCCAAAUCUGCCCCAAAAGCAUUUGGCCGCCCCCCACCUAAUUUUGAUGACUUUUGUUAUCCCUUAGGGGACACCUACCUAAUUUAGAUGACUUUUUA
rnacentral:lncRNA from 1 species